UUCACGUUUCACUUUUUUUUA
rnacentral:piRNA from 1 species